rnacentral:rRNA from 1 species
UACGUAGGGGGCAAGCGUUGUCCGGAUUUAUUGGGCGUAAAGAGCGUGUAGGCGGUUAGGUAGGUCCGUUGUGAAAACUCGAGGCUCAACCUCGAGACGCCGAUGGAAACCAUCCAACUAGAGUCCGGAAGAGGAGAGUGGAAUUCCUGGUGUAGCGGUGAAAUGCGCAGAUAUCGGGAGGAACACCGGUGGCGAAGGCGGUUCUCUGGGCCUUACCUGACGCUGAGGAGCGAAAGCGUGGGGAGCGAACAGG